rnacentral:rRNA from 1 species
UACGUAGGGGGCUAGCGUUGUCCGGAAUCAUUGGGCGUAAAGCGCGCGUAGGCGGUCAGGUAAGUCCGGUGUGAAAGUCAAAGGCUCAACCUUUGAAUGCCGCUGGAUACUGCCUGACUUGAGUCCGGAAGGGGCGAGUGGAAUUCCUGGUGUAGCGGUGAAAUGCGCAGAUAUCAGGAAGAACACCCGUGGCGAAGGCGGCUCUCUGGGACGGUACUGACGCUGAGACGCGAAAGCGUGGGGGAGCGAACAGG